GACGAACGCUGGCGGCAUGCCUAAUACAUGCAAGUCGAGCGAACAGAUGAAGUGCUUGCACUUCUGACGUUAGCGGCGAACGGGUGAGUAACACGUAAGGAAUCUACCUAUAAGCGGGGGAUAACAUUCGGAAACGGGUGCUAAUACCGCAUAAUAUCUUCUUCCGCAGGGAAGAAGAUUGAAAGACGGCUCUGCUGUCACUUAUAGAUGACCUUGCGGUGCAUUAGUUAGUUGGUGGGGUAACGGCCUACCAAGACGAUGAUGCAUGGCUGACCUGAGAGGGUGAUCGGCCACAUUGGGACUGAGACACGGCCCAAACUCCUACGGGAGGCAGCAGUAGGGAAUCUUCCGCAAUGGGCGAAAGCCUGACGGAGCAAUGCCGCGUGAGUGAAGAAGGCCUUCGUGUCGUAAAACUCUGUUAUAAGAGAAGAACAAAUUGUAGAGUAACUGCUACAGUCUUGACGGUAUCUUAUCAGAAAGCCACGGCUAACUACGUGCCAGCCGCCGCAGUAA
rnacentral:rRNA from 1 species